AGAGUUUGAUCCUGGCUCAGGACGAACGCUGGCGGCGUGCUUAACACAUGCAAGUCGAACGAGGUAGCAAUACCUAGUGGCGGACGGGUGAGUAACACGUAGGUAACCUGCCUUCUAGUGGGGGAUACCCAUCCGAAAGGAUGGCUAAUACCGCAUAAGCUCUAACUCUGAGAUGGGUUAGAGGAAAGAUUUAUUGCUAG
rnacentral:rRNA from 1 species